GACGAACGCUGGCGGCGUGCUUAACACAUGCAAGUCGAACGGAAAGGCCCUGCUUGCAGGGUACUCGAGUGGCGAACGGGUGAGUAACACGUGGGUGAUCUGCCCUGCACUUCGGGAUAAGCCUGGGAAACUGGGUCUAAUACCGGAUAGGAGCCAUUUUUAGUGUGAUGGUUGGAAAGUUUUUUCGGUGUAGGAUGAGCUCGCGGCCUAUCAGCUUGUUGGUGGGGUAAUGGCCUACCAAGGCGGCGACGGGUAGCCGGCCUGAGAGGGUGGACGGCCACAUUGGGACUGAGAUACGGCCCAGACUCCUACGGGAGGCAUCAGUGGGGAAUAUUGCACAAUGGGCGCAAGCCUGAUGCAGCGACGCCGCGUGGGGGAUGACGGCCUUCGGGUUGGAAACUCCUUUCGCUAGGGACGAAGCUUUUUGUGACGGUACCUAGAUAAGAAGCACCGGCUAACUACGUG
rnacentral:rRNA from 1 species